AAUAUUGCGCAAUGGAGGGAACUCUGACGCAGCGACGCCGCGUGAGCGAUGAAGGUCUUCGGAUCGUAAAGCUCUGUCCUUGGGGAAGAAGGGAGCCGUAAGGCGUCUUGACGGUACCCAUGGAGGAAGCCCGGGCUAACUACGUGCCAGCAGCCGCGGCAAUACGCAGGGGGCAAGCUCUGUCCGGAAUUAUUUGGCGUAGAGGGUGCGUAGGCGGCCCUUUAAGUCAGAUGUGAAAGCCCACGGCUUAACCGUGGGACUGCAUUUGAAACUGGAGGGCUUGAGUGUCGGAGAGGGCAGUGGAAUUACCAGUGUAGCGGUGGAAUGCGUAGAUAUUGGGAGGAACACCAGUGGCGAAGGCGACUGCCUGGACGAUAACUGACGCUGAGGCACGAAAGCUAGGGGAGCAAAC
rnacentral:rRNA from 1 species